ACAAAACUCUAAGGAACAGAGGUGACACCACAAUGCUUGGCUUAUCAAAGGAGGAAGCAGAAAACAAACCUUAUAUAGCUUCAAUGGGGAUCUAUAUUUUUAAGAAAGACAUACUCCUAAACCUUCUAAGGUCAGAUGGUGUUUUCCCACUGCAAAUUAUUUUGGUUCUGAAAUAAUUCCUGCUUCAGCAAAAGAAAUCGAUGUAAAGGCUUAUCUUUUCAAUGAUUAUUGGGAAGAUAUUGGAACUAUUAAGUACUUCUUUGAGGCAAACCUUGCUCUUGCUGAACAUGUACGUGUUUAAUGAUUACUGGCUUUCUGCAAACUCUUCGAGUAACUCUUUGUACUGCUUUGCUUUAUGUUUUUUUAUAUUUCUCU